rnacentral:rRNA from 1 species
GAUGAACGCUGGCGGCGUGCCUAAUACAUGCAAGUCGAGCGAACAGAUAAGGAGCUUGCUCCUUUGACGUUAGCGGCGGACGGGUGAGUAACACGUGGGUAACCUACCUAUAAGACUGGGAUAACUUCGGGAAACCGGAGCUAAUACCGGAUAACAUUUGGAACCGCAUAGUUCUAAAGUGAAAGAUGGUUUUGCUAUCACUUAUAGAUGGACCCGCGCCGUAUUAGCUAGUUGGUAAGGUAACGGCUUACCAAGGCGACGAUACGUAGCCGACCUGAGAGGGUGAUCGGCCACACUGGAACUGAGACACGGUCCAGACUCCUACGGGAGGCAGCAGUAGGGAAUCUUCCGCAAUGGGCGAAAGCCUGACGGAGCAACGCCGCGUGAGUGAUGAAGGGUUUCGGCUCGUAAAACUCUGUUAUUAGGGAAGAACAAACGUGUAAGUAACUGUGCACGUCUUGACGGUACCUAAUCAGAAAGCCACGGCUAACUACGUG